rnacentral:rRNA from 1 species
GAUGAACGCUGGCGGCGUGCCUAAUACAUGCAAGUCGAGCGAACGGACGAGAAUCUUUCUUCUCUGAUGUUAGCGGCGGACGGGUGAGUAACACGUGGCUAACCUACCUAUAAGACUGGGAUCACUUCGGGGAACCUGAUCUCAUAUCGGAUAAUAUUUUGAACCGCAUGGUUCAAAAGUGAACGGCGGUCUUGCUGUCACUUAUAGAUGGAUCCGCGCUGCAUUAGCUAGUUGGUAAGGUAACGGCUUACCAAGGCAACGAUGCAUAGCCGACCUGAGAGGGUGAUCGGCCACACUGGAACUGAGACACGGUCCAGACUCCUACGGGAGGCAGCAGUAGGGAAUCUUCCGCAAUGGGCGAAAGCCUGACGGAGCAACGCCGCGUGAGUGAUGAAGGUCUUCGGAUCGUAAAACUCUGUUAUUAGGGAAGAACAUAUGUGUAAGUAACUGUGCACAUCUUGACGGUACCUAAUCAGAAAGCCACGGCUAACUACGUG